UUUAAUUGGACUCAACGCCGGACAUCUCACCAGCAUCGACUGUAAUAAUGACGAUCAGGUUGAUGACCUUAUCCGAGUUUCAGAGAGGAGGUGCAUGGCCGCCGUCAGCUCGUACCGUGAGGCGUCCUGUUAAGUCAGGCAACGAGCGAGACCCGCAUCCUUACUUGCCAGCAGUACCGCGAGGUAGCUGGGGACAGUAGGGGGACCGCCGUGGCUAACACGGAGGAAGGAACGGGCAACGGUAGGUCAGUAUGCCCCGAAUGUGCUGGGCAACACGCGGGCUACAAUGGUCGAGACAAAGGGUUCCCACUCCGAAAGGAGACGGUAAUCUCAGAAACUCGAUCGUAGUUCGGAUUGUGGGCUGCAACUCGCCCACAUGAAGCUGGAUUCGGUAGUAAUCGCGUGUCACAAGCGCGCGGUGAAUACGUCCCUGCUCCUUGCACACACCGCC
rnacentral:rRNA from 1 species